rnacentral:lncRNA from 1 species
CCUGUCUCAAGGCCACACCUUCCACCUGCAGUGGAGUCUUCCACACCCAGCGCUUCGACCUUUACCAGCAGGCCUCCCCACCAGAUGCCCUGCACUGGAUACCUAAGCCUUGGGAAUGGACACGGCCGCCACCUCGAAAAGGGCCCUCCCAAAAGGCAGAGGAGCCUGGGUCCCAAGGGGACAAGGAGCCUGGUUUGCCCCCACC